rnacentral:rRNA from 1 species
UACGGGGGGGGGCAAGCGUUGUUCGGAAUUACUGGGCGUAAAGGGCUCGUAGGCGGCCAACUAAGUCAGACGUGAAAUCCCUCGGCUUAACCGGGGAACUGCAUCCGAUACUGGAGGGCUUGAGUUUGGGAGAGGGAUGCGGAAUUCCAGGUGUAGCGGUGAAAUGCGUAGAUAUCUGGAGGAACACCGGUGGCGAAGGCGGCAUCCUGGACCAACACUGACGCUGAGGAGCGAAAGCCAGGGGAGCAAACGGG